GGCUCCUCACUGCCCAAUUCUUGAAUAGCCUCAGAAAAGUAGCCUGAUAAUUAGUAGUCACUGACUUUUAAUGAUCUGAUCUCAUUCUAAUGGCACAACCCCAAAAUCUCAGGCAAGACCAGCAAUUCUCACCUCUCUGUCUUCUUUUAAGUAUCGAAACAAGGGCUGACGAGAUGGAAGCACUCCUGGAAGCCUGACAGUUCUGGGAUCAGGAUGCUUCAAUUUGAAUCCAGCUCUCUAACUUCCUAACUUGUGACUUUUGAGCUCCACACAGUCCUACAGCGUUCCACCAUGUAAAAUCAGGCCUUCAUUUUGAACUUGGAUAUCUCCCCACUUGCAGGCAGUGGCAAUGCCAGCAAGCCACAGGUGGGCACCACACGAGCAGGCAGUUUAAGAGAGUUUUAGGCAAAUGAACGUCCGUGCCUUGGAAAUCCCUGAGAAGACGUGAAGCAGCCUCAGAAAGAGAAACUGGCUGAGCUUUCAGCCUGCGCGCGCUGGGAACGAAGGUAGAUGCCUUGACUCAGAGUUGGUGGCUGUUUUGAAAGCUGGCCUUGCUUUGGACCAUUGAUGGGGCUGUCUUCUUCAGCAAACAGUGAUCGUGAAGCCAAAUUCAGCUUUCUUCAGGAAAAGGACAAAAACUAGGAUGAGGAAGCUGAGGUGCAGUGCUGUCAGGAAACUGCCCAAUGUCAUAGGUAGCAAGUGGUGGAAAUGGAAGUUUUGAACCUGGGCAUGCUCACAAAGAGGACACUUUGCUACAUCAGAAAGGAAGGACGGACGGACUACCGAAAGAAAGUGUCAGAAUCUGCCCUUGAGAGUACUGUUUCUAGGAGAGCAGAGUUUACAGAAAAUUUAAAGAAAAUUUUCUCCAAUGCCUAAUCCUGGGUCAACAUUUGCAAAUACACAGCCUCGUUAAUUGGCCUUGCCCGGGCAGUCCUGAGCAGCGCCCCUCCUGAAGACAGAGCACUGAGGAAAGAAGGGUAUUAUUUCAGCUGGGAGAGGAGCAGAGCCCUGGGAUGAAACUGAUUGAUUCAGACCAGAUGGAUGGCCACACAUAGGUGUGACAAAAAUAGUAACACAUUGCAGACAUUCCAGGAACUGUCCUCCUUUCCUGGCCUGGAGGUGGGUCGCCUGUGUUGUCUCCUUAUCUACCUCUUAUGUGCUUCCGAAUCAAAGAAUGUCAAUGAUGCUAACUCUUUUCCAUGUUAGCACCGGGUCACAAGGCAUCAGAUUUGAAGUUCCAUUAAAAAAGUCUAAUGACCAUUGCCCAGGUUUCCCUGUAGGUAAAGCCAAAGCAAAUCAUCUUGCCUACUGCCUAAAUAUGUUGUUAUUAUUUCAAUUUCCUCUUGCACAUGAAGAGUUCUAAGGUGUCAGAAACUGAUCUCUGCUACCCUAGAAGAGAAGGGUACAUUAAUAAAUGAUACCAGUGUUGUAAUUAAGCAUUGAUUAUAACUUAAUUCAUGGGUCUUAAAAGAGUACUACGUAAUAACUGAGGACUCUGAUCUGGUUAUAGGCACUUUAACCCUAAAUUGUCUGAGCCUGAGGACUCUCUAUUAAAAAGAGAUAGGACCUUACAUAAGAUCUUCAUCACCAUCCAUAAUCAUGACCAUUCAUUCAUUACUGUCAUUAUUAUUUGACGUUUAAGAUUACUUUUUGAGUAUUUUGGUUCUCAUUUCACUACAUUAGUGAAUUUUGACUUUAUAAACUAAGGUAAGGGUUUAUGAACUUGAUAACAUUGGAAGAAAGAAAUGUAACAUUUUUAUUUAUUACAAGAAUUACUUUCCUACUUGAAAGGAAAUUCACCAAGCAUGGGAAAUUUUCUGUCAUUCAAAGCUGAAGUGCAGAAAUUAUGCACAAAUUUGAAUGUUUAUCAAAAUUAAAGGAAACUCCAAAAGCUCUUUGUAAAAUAAUAUAAAACCUAGAGAAAUGGUGAGCAUUUAAUAACAACCCAGUGACAUUUCAACAAGUAUGGGAGAGGCUUUGUCAUAAUAAAAGUAUGGUUUUCUCACUCUCUACCUCAAAUGUCCUGCCCUGUUUUGUCCCAGCAUGAAGUUUUAGUUUAUGCGUUCUCACAUAGGCCUGAAACUGUUACCUACUUGUUAUAAACCAUCUCAGAUUUCACUGCUGUGGGUUAAUCUGUAGGUCCUG